ensembl:snRNA U2 U2 spliceosomal RNA
AUCACUUCUUGACCUUUUAGCUAAGAUCAAGUGUAGUAUCUGUUCUUAUCAGUUUAAAGUUAUCAUUGGCUAGGGGUGCGGUGGCUCAUGCCUGUAAUCCCAGAACUUUGGGAAGCCGAGGCAGGUGGAUCAUUU